GCAAGCUUUUGCACUACAUAUACUAAAGUUGGAACAUUACAAAGAUUAGCAUGGUUCCUGUAUAAGUAUGACACACAAAUUCCUAAACUGUUUAAAUUUUCU